GUCAGGUCCUGCAAAUACAGGAAGAGGAGCAAGGGGAGAACAAAUGGAUUCUUUCACUUCUGCAGAAGGCUUCAGCUUGGAUUCAGUUGAGAGGUACAUGGUGGCUGAUUUUUGCAAUCAAGCUGAGGAGUUUUCAUCUUAAGCUUGGACCUUCAUAGCUGAUCAUGGCAGCUGACUUCUGUUUCCAAAUCAACUAUCCUCGCUCUGGGGACUGUGGAAACAGGCUCAGCACAAGCACCAAAGAGUACAGAGCUAGAAAGCAGAGGAAAAAGGAUUUGAACCUGACUCUUUCUAACUCCAAAAAGAAAUGAACCUGAAGCACCCCUCAUGAUGAUGUGAGCAUGCUGGAUUGCUGCAAGGGCCUUAAUCCCUGGGAGAUUUAUAUCUGUGACUUCACUAUGAAAACAAAACUAUCUUCCCCGCCCUGUCAGGGUGCAACAAUUAGAAAAGAAUGUGAGGUUUACUUUUGACGAAGCAUGUGGUUCAUAAUAGAGCCUCUUUUACCAAUGGGAUGAUUUGUAGCUAAAAUAUAAAAACCAUGGGC
rnacentral:lncRNA from 1 species